ACCCUCGUGAUCUGCUAUGGCUGCUGAGAAGCAAGCAAUGAAAUGAGAUGGAGGAAGCUUGUAUGUGGGUGGCCCUUGGGAAAAAAAGAAUGAACACUUGCUUUCUUAGUCUUGAAAUACUCUGCAAAGAUGGUGAAGAAAUCUGCUGCUGGUCCAGGGCCUCUGGGAAAGCAGCAUAUCUAAAGCCAUACGGUGUAAAAAGAUGGCUCAGGGCAGAGCCUUGGAUCCAAAUGGUGCAAAUCAGCAUGUGGCAACUCAGAGCAAGCAGUGCUACAAGGCACAGGUCUCUUACCAGGCUGAGACCAUCUCUGCUGAUUCUCUGGAGGUGGGAGCCAUCUAGCAGACAAGUAAUCAGGUCCAGGCUCUGCUCUUUGCCACUUUGUAAAGCAGAAGUAUUCCAGCCUUUCUAGCAGCAGCUGUCUUUCCUCUUUGGAAUCCUACCUGAUGUGUGUAAAAUUGGGUGUGGGCUUAGCAGAAAUCUGCAUGUGAAUCCCAUGUGUGUUGCUGUUUUGUCUCACAGAGUUAUUGGCGCAGGUUUUCAUGCCACUGAAAUGUACUUGUCAGGAGAGAGGUCCAUGUUUCUCUUCUGCAAAUACAUGGCCAUUCUGAUAACAGAAAGUGAGUCCGAGAUGUGAAAGGAAAGAGAUGUCUGAAGUGAAAGAGCAAUGCAAAUGCUGAGUUCACCCCACCAGAUUUUGAUGUCGGUCAGUCUCUCUCUGGAUAACUCAUCUGUGUUGUGCUGUCAUUAAAAUACUUGCUACUUAACAUGAGCAAACUUAAAGAAAAUUUAUGGACUUUUUUUUUUGCUCUGUGUUUUUAAUACAAGUAUGUAUUUGUGCUCUUAACCCUCCCCCAGUAUUGGUAUGAACUCAUUGACCCUCACCAAUGAGCUCCUCCACGCUUUUCUUUUAGAAAAGACAUUGAGUGGAAAAAGAUACAGCUGCAAGAGGUUCUCUCAGUGGCCAGAUAUUUUCAGUGUUUGUACGUGAGUCAAAUUCUGAGUUAAAAAGGUAUCUGCAGCACAAUAAGACAAUUGAAAUGGCAAUGGAGAGUUGAAGAGUUCACGCACUGAAUGAUGUCUCAGUUCCCUUCUCCACUUCCCUGCAGUCUUCUGGUCACGCGUGAGAGCAGAUCCACUGUGCAGUGACUUUGAAGAAGGUGAUGUAGAAUCCCAGGCAGGAAAGUCAAAUCUGAUGACAUGGGCAUGUAAUGGCAAGCAGGAGGGUGUGCAUCUGAGUUGCAGGCCCCUCUUGGGUCUCACACAGGGCAGCCAUGCUGUAGAUUGCAAUAAGGGCUAUUUGCUAUUGCUUACAGGACUCAGGAAUGCAUACCAUUUCCUACAAAUGUAUUUGUCCAAAGAACGACAUCACAGAAUUUUGUUUUGCCUCACUGACUGUUAUACAUAUGCUGUGUAAACAGCAAAAUUGUUUAGAUCUAUUUCAGAGAAUUAAAAGAGCAUGGAAUGAGUUUGUC
rnacentral:lncRNA from 7 species